rnacentral:lncRNA from 1 species
CAAAUCAAUUAAAUUGCUUAAUAUGUGAUGAAUAAUGCAUAUGGUCAAAUAAAUCAUGUUGAAUCAUGAAUAAUUGGUAUAUUUACAUAUAUUUUACACAUGAUUCCAUCUAACUUCCAAAUUAACUCUCCACUUAAGUUUUCAAACUAUCGGCUAAUCAACAAUAAUGUCAUUUAACUAGGCCAAUAACUAAUAAAGUCAUUGAAUUUUAAUAAUAGUGCACUUAAGUCCUAAUUUUAAACCUAACGACUAGUAAUAAAAAUUCUGGACAUUGCGCUUAGGCACUAGGAUGGCUGCUUUUUAGAAACAUUAAAAGCCACCUAGCCUAUGAUUGAUGGACCUAUGAGAGCACACCUUUGCCAUCAAGAGAGACCACGUGUCUUUUUAUCCAACGGUCAGUAUCACAUCUAUUUUAUUAUAAAAGCUUAUAAUUAGUGUCAUUUGAAGAUAAUGCAAUUAUAAACACUCAACCGAUAAUCUUCCAUACACUACUCUUGGUGUCCGAACAAUUAAGUGGCUUACGUCUCAAGCAGUUCUCACACCCCAUAAACUAUCAUCAUCGAUUGACUUAACCGUCAAAGUGCUCGCGGCCAUUACAGCUGACGGUUUGUGCAAGGGUGCAUGAACUAG